rnacentral:lncRNA from 10 species
AUUCAAAAGAGUAUUAUAUGGUUUUUCUGUAAAUUGAGCAUUGAAAUAAAAACACAAGGUUUUCUUAAGGCACUGAUGUCCUUUUUAACAAAAAUUUGCAAAGGAUUAUAAAAGGUUUAUAGUAAUCUCACCUCAUGGUCAAACUGAUUAAGAUUGGAUAGAAUUAUCUAUAAGGUUUCAUUUAAAAAUUGGGGUUAAGAUUGUUAGUAGACUAAUGCAAGGGUGAAAUUUGGCUUUCUCUCCCUUGAACAAGAUUUUUAUGUAAUACUAAAGGAUAAUGAAUGAUUUUUGUUUGCCUUGUGAAUGAACUACCAAAAAAGAAGAUAACAAGAAACAAAUUGUUUGGAAAGUUAAGUCUUCUGUCUUAAUGAGUAAAGGUUUUUGCCUUGUUUUAAAAUAUUUGAGUCAUAUUUUGGCUAAAUAAAAAACUUAAGGUAAUCUGGAGUUCUAUUUAAUAAUAUGAAGUGUUUAAAUCUCUAAAAUAUUUAACAGGCUUCUACAAAUUAAACUUCAGCUUCAAAAGUUGUGUUUUUUCUGACCCCUAAACUUUUGAAUGCUACAGAGGCCCCUGGAGCAUCCAAAAGAGAGGUGAACAGGGCUAUUUCACAUGCUGAGUUACAUGGGAUUGCCAAAAUAAAAAUAAGGUUUAAUCUUCUUCAAGUUAUAUUUUAGUGAGUAUUAAUAUAUGUUUCAAAAUUUUAUGGCAUUUAUAAAAUUCUAAUGUCUGUGUAUAUGCUACCAAUCAUAAUAAAGGAUAUAAUGUUAAGUUAUUGUAAAUCGCAGAUACAACCUAAUUUCUUUGUCAAUCAUGUUUUUGACUGUAACUCCUCUGGACAUUUUGUAACUCACAGACAAUUGCUGUCUUGCUUGAUCCUUUACAAAAGAUGGUUUAUAAUCAGCUCUAGGACUUCAGCAGGUGCUGUCAAAUGCAGGUUUCUGAUAACUUUGGAUGUUGUGAUAAUGGCAUAGAGGAAAAAUGUACAGGACUCAUGAAGAGCUGUGAUGUUCAUGAAUAUCAAGCAGAGCAAAAAGUCAAGGAAAAUUUGAGCUAUCUGCAACUUUUAAAAAUUGAGUAAAGUAUAUUCCUGUGAAUAAAAUUUGAAGGUAGUUGUUUCUCCUUACCUGGUUUCUCCAGAAUUUGGAAACUAUUUGUGAGUAUUCUUAACUAAUGGCAAUAUAGUUAUUUGCAUAAGUACAAUAAGAAUCCAUUUUCUUUUGCAGCAGGACACAAUUGGACAAAAAAAAAUUGUUUUAUCAAGGGUUUGACUAGAAUGGUGUGCUCUCCUUCAGGGAAUUAAGCUUAACUUACAGAACCAAUAUAAAUCCCUUGGGAAAACUGGCCUCAUGCAUUGUCUACAAAGUCCCUGUAUGGGGUUCUUGACCUGCGAUGAGUAAAGAAUGUCACAUUCUAACAGGUCUAGGAACCUCAAGCUAUCUUGGGACCUCAGGAAGAGAGGAAUUUACCUGACUCACAGAUAUUUCAGCAUACAAACCCAUUGCUGGGCUUGGCUUUAAAAGGUCUUAUCUGAGAUUCAUUGUGAAACAGAGUUCCCUCAAAGCCAAUCUAGAAAAGCCUAUGGGAAAAUAAUUAUUCUUGCUGCACUUUAUGCAAUUAAUCAGGCCAAGUAUAAGACUAAACUUUAUUUUGCAAACAACUCAGUUCUGUCAUAAUUUUUUUUUUUUAAAAAAAUAAAGACUGGAGAGAGACAACUUGUGUUUCAAAACUUAUAGACUAGUCAUUAAAUUCUAGUCUCAUUAGUAGUUUAAGUUUUUAUCUGUAUUUUAGACUAACCCUGUGGAUUAGUCUGUUCUCAAGAUGUUAAUAAAGCCAUACCCAAGACUGGGUAGUUUAUAAAGGAAGACGUUUAAUUGAUCCAUAGUUCUGUAUUGCUGGUGAGGCCUCAGGAAACUUACAAUCAUGGCAGAAGGCACUUCUUUACAGGGAAGCAGAAGAGAGAAUGAGCACUGAGUGAAGGGGAAAGCUCCUUAUAAAAGCCAUCAGACCUCAUAGAACUCACUCACUAUCACGAGAAUAACAUGAGAGAAACUGCCCCCAUGAUUCAAUUAUCUCCACCUGGCCCCACCCUUGACACAUAGGGAUUAUUACAAUCCAAGGUGAGAUUUAGGUGGGGACACAGAACCUAACAAUAUCAUAUCUUCCCCUGGCCCCUACCAAAUCUCAUGUCCUCCAAUUCAAAACACAAUCAUGCCCUUCCAAUAGUCUCCGAAAGACUCAACUCAUUCCAGCAUUAACCCAAAAGUCCAAGUCCAAGAUCUUGUCUGAGACAAGGCAAUUCCCUUCCACCAUUGAGCCUGUAAAAUCAAAAGCAAGUUAAUUACUUUCUAGAUACAGUGGAGGUGAAGGCAUUGGGUAAAUACACCUGUUUCAAAUGGGAGAAAUUUGCCAAAAAAGGGGCUACAGGCUCCAUGCAAGUCAGAAAUCCAGUAAGGCUUCCAAAUCUUAAAGCUCCAAAAUGAUCUCCCUUUGACUCCAUGUCACAUAUCCAGGUCACGAUGAUGCAAGAGGUGGGCUUCCACAGCCUUGGGCAGCCCCACUCCUGUGGCUUUGUAGGGUAUAGCCCACUCUCUGCUGCUUUCAUUGACUAGCAUUGAGUGUCUGUAGCUUAUCCAUGGGCACGGUGCAAGUUGUCAGUGAAUCUACCAUUGUGGGGUAUGGAGUAUGGUGACCCCCUUCUCAUAGCUCCAAUAGGCAGUGCCCCAGUGGGGACUCUGAGUGGGGGCUCCAACACCACAUUUCCCUUCUGCACUGCCUUAGCAGACGCUCUGCAUGAAGGCUCUGUCACUGCAGCAAACUUCUUCCUGGACAUCUAGGGGUUCCCACACAUACUCUGAAAUCUAAGAAAAGGUUUCCAGAUCUCAAUUCUUGACCUCAGUGUACCCAUAGCCCCAACACCACAUGAAGCCACCAGGGGUUUGGGCUUGCACCCUCUGAAGUAACAGCCUCAACUGUGUGUUGGCCCCUUUUAGCCACAGCUGGAGUUGAAGCAGCUGGGACAGAGGGCACCAUGUCUCAAGGUUGCACAGAGCAGGAGGCUCUGGGCCCAGCCCACAAAACCAUUUUGCUUUCCUAGGCCUCCAGGUCUGUGAUAGUAGUGGCUGCUAUGAAGAUCUCUGAUGUGCACUGGAGUCAUUUUCCCCCUUGUCUUGGUGGUUAACAUUUGGGUCCUUGUUACUUAUGCAAAUUUCUGCAGCCAGCUUGAAUUCCUUCCCAGAAAAUUGGUUUUUCUUUUCUACUGCUUUGUCAGGCUGCAAAUUUUCAAAACUUUUAUGCUCUGCUUCCUCUUGAACACUUUGCUGCUUAGAAAUUUCUUCUGCCAGAUAAUCUAAAUCAUCUCUUUCAAGUUCAAAGUUUCACGGAUCUGUAGAGCAGGAACAAAAUGCCACCAGUCUCUUUGCGUAUCACCUUUAUUCCAGUUCCCAACAAGUGUCUUAUCUUCACCUGAAACCACCUUUUAGCAGGCAUAACUAUAUCCACCAGUUAUCUGGGCAUGUCAGCAGCCUUGGGAAUUUUGAGCUGUCUUUACCCCCUUGUUUCAUUUUGAUACAUGUCUUCUAAUAAUCUGGUUUGUCUCUUCUUGCCUUCAGGCCAUCAAACUCCAAAUGUUCAUGCAACUGGAGCCUCAUAUUAUGGCUGCCAUUUACCAGAGACCCUUAGAUAGGCAUAUGAGAGAGAUCUGACUGCUCUCUUUCCAAAACAGCUUACCUGUCAGCAGAAAGCAGAUAAGAGUGAUCACCAUCCUUUUCCUAAGGGCAGUGUACCUCUUGAUAGGGGAAAAUUAAUAGUGGCAGGAGACAGACAAAUGCCUAGGCAGAUAGGGGCACUUCCCUGGUAAAACCCUACCUUCAAGCCAAAAACAGCCUGAAGACUGAAAAACCAGACUGCUGGUUCCUGAUGAAAAACACAACCUGGAGUGAGAAAUUCUGUUUCUGUUUUCCUGCCCUUUUCCAUUUGGUUAUUUCUGAAUUAUACUUUUUAAUCAAUUGAAUGUUGCUUUUUCCAAGACUACCUAUGGCCUGCCCCACCCCCAUCCUGUGCCUACAAAAACUCCAGACUCAGCCAUCCUGGGGGAGAAACGACCUGAUUGCAGGAGUGGGGGACCACUCCUGUGUGCCCUCUCCCCGAGAGCUGUUCCGUUGCUCAAUAAAAUUAUUAUAGCAUGGUACUGGUACCAAAAUAGACAUACAGAUCAAUGGAACAGAACUGAGCCCUCAGAAAUAACGCCGCAUAUCUACAACUAUCUGAUCUUUGACAAACCUGAGAAAAACAAGCAAUGGGGAAAGGAUUCCCUAUUUAAUAAAUGGUGCUGGGAAAACUGGCUAGCCAUAUGUAGAAAGCUGAAACUGGAUCCCUUCCUUACACCUCAUACAAAAAUUAAUUCAAGAUGGAUUAAAGACUUAAACAUUAGACCUAAAACCAUAAAAACCCUAGAAGAAAACCUAGGCAUUA